AUAUCAAUAAGCGGAGGAAAAGAAACUAACAAGGAUUCCCUCAGUAACGGCGAGUGAAGCGGGAAGAGCUCAAAUUUAAAAUCUGGCGUAAAAGCCCGAAUUGUAGUCUAAAGAGGCGUUAUCGGACUCUAGUUUGUCGUACAAGUUUCCUGGAAUGGAACAUCACAGAGGGUGAGAAUCCCGUCUGGACGAUGAACUAGUGGCCAUAUGAGACGUUCUCAAAGAGUCGAGUUGUUUGGGAUUGCAGCUCAAAAUGGGAGGUAAAUUUCUUCUAAGGCUAAAUAACGGCAAGAGACCGAUAGCAAACAAGUACCGUGAGGGAAAGAUGAAAAGCACCUUGAAAAGGGAGUUAAAAGCGC
rnacentral:rRNA from 1 species